rnacentral:tRNA from 1 species
GGAUGUAGCUCAGUUGCAGAGCAUCUGCUUUGCACACAGAAGGUCCCAGGUUCAAUUCCUGGCACCUCCA